AACUGUUACUAACUCAAAAAAAGCCCCAAACUCUCUCUAUCUCUCUCUCGACCCCGCCACACCGCCUCAAUCUCUCUCUCUCUCUCUAAAGCCUCCCCAAAAUUGCCAAAUGCACGACCACAGCACUCUUCACUAUCCUCCUCCGAUACCGUAGCACCCCUAUCGCCGGAACCCUAACGGCACUCGCCCGCCGGCAAAUAUGCGGCGAGAAUUUUUCGUUGGACGUCCUUCUUUGUUGGACUCGAUUCGAAUUCUCCAUUCCAAUUGGCUCCCUUAUUCCUCCUUUUCAAAUUUUAGGGUUUUUUCGUGAUCAAUAACCAAACCGCUAAGAAGAACUAGAGCGACACAAGUAACCGCCUAUGGCUCCGGGGCGUAAAAAGGGAGCGAAUAAGAAGAAACUUCAGUUGCGUUUGGGUGAUCUUGUUCUUGCUAAAGUCAAGGGUUACCCUUCUUGGCCUGCCAAGAUUAGCCGGCCUGAAGAUUGGAAGCGAGUCGCUGAUGCUAAGAAAGUUUUUGUCUAUUUUUUUGGAACUCAAGAAAUUGCUUUUGUUGCCCCUUCUGAUAUUCAGGUAUUCACAAAUGAAGUGAAGAAUAAAUUGUCAGCUCGGUGUCAGAGUAAGAAAGAUAGGUUCUUUUCCCAAGCUGUGAAGGAAAUCUGUGCAGCUUUUGAAGAGUUGCAGAAGGGAAAGUCAAGUGGAUUGGGAGAUAAUACUGAUAGAUCAGCACUAGGAUCUGAGGGUCAAUCUGUUGACUCAAUGGAAGAGGAUGGGGCAGGGGAUAACUUAAAUGAGAGGAUGGGUAAAGUUGGACAAAGUGGAGUGAUGUGGGAUUCAGGACGUGAAUUUAAUUCUAAGUUAGAGCAUUGCUCCAGUAGACGAGGUGAAGCGGGCUCUGAAGGUAUGAAGCCUUCUGUUUCAUGUGACACUGAUGACAGUUCAUCCCCAGGUAUUUCUUCUGAAAAUAAGGUUAAAACAUUUGAUGGUGAACAACCACAAGAGGUAUUAUCUGCUUCCAGUUUGGAUAAUGUUUCCUUUGUAAAGGAUGAAGCCUCUUGUAAUGGAAAUCUGGAUGUUAAUUGCAUGAAUAACCUGUGUAAUGGUGAGGAGGCAAGGACAGAUCCUCAUGAGUCUAAGACAGUGGUUUCUGGGGCAGACAGAAAAUUGGAAUGUGAUUCUAGGGAGCAAGUGAAAGGUGGAGAAAAAGGCAAGCAUGCUAGUGGCAGAAUAAGAGAUUCCCCCCCAGGUCCUCCUAAAUCAGAUUCAGGAGCCAGUGGUGGUGGAAAAGCAGAACUAUCAAAAGCCAAAAAGGAUACUAUUAUGGUGUUCAAUGAUAUACAUGAAAAUAAGGUCUUUCAAAAGAAAAGGCGUGCCCAACCUGAACAUGGAAAAUCUGAGCUUGAAACGACUGAAACUACAAAUCCUGCUAAGAAAUUAAAGCGUGUAGACAUGGAAGAUGAUGUUACCAAGGGACCCCUCUUAGAAAACAUGAGCAUUUCACCAAGCUUGAAUGUAGUCGAUGACAAAGCAGUCAAACAGCCUGUGGCACAUGGGAAAAGAGAAAUCCUUUUGGCAUUAAGAGCCCAAAGUGGUAAAGUUAAAUCUGAUGCUUUUGCCCAAAUAGGUAAAGUGAAAUCUAAUCUUUCUUCUCAAUUAGGUAAGUUUAAACCUGGUACAUCUGCCAAGACGAGUAAAGUUGAUUGUGAUGCAUCUGCCCAGACAGUUAAAGUCAAAAGUGAUGCUCCUGCACAAUGGGGUAACACUAAUACUGAUGUAUCUGCACAAAUAAGCAAAGUUAAACUUGAUGCAUCUGCCGAAAUUGGCAAAGCUAAACCUGAUGCUUCUGAUCCAAUGAGUAAAGUUAAAUCCGAUGUUUCAAAUGAUGAAACUGUGCUGCCUGUAUUAAAACGCCGUAAACGGGCAAUGGAGGCAAUGUGUGACGCUGCUGCUCUCAAUUCCGAUGACAGAAUGGAGAAAAAUGCUCUUGAGCUAAAUAGUGAUUUAGCUUCUAUCAAUACGAGAGUUUCUGUCACCCAACAGCCCAAAAGGCGAAGAGCUGUUUGCCUUUAUGAUGGCGACAAUGAAGAUGAAGAACCCAAAACUCCUGUUCAUGGAGGAGCUGACAAAAAUGUCAGAGCACAUGUGUCUGUUUCAGACACUUCCAAGAGAACUAAUGUGCACGUUGAAAGUUCUGUUAAUCAAGAACACAGAAGUUCUAUUAAUGCUCAGACAAGUUUGAGGGAUUCUACUGGAUUAGAGAAUAGCCAUUCCAAGGAAUCAUCUUUGCUGAUGCAGAACUAUCCUCUUUCACCUAGCUGUCCAAAAACUGCAAAGAGGAAUGAUAUUCGUGUCUCUCCAAGUCCUGGCAAAUCAGAGUCCGAGCAGAUACUGACCAAGGAGGCCAAACCAAUCAUAACUACUCCUAAGAGGUCUCCUCAUCUGCUUCCUGCCACCAAACCAGUUGUGGAACAGCAUAAAGCUACCAAGCCCUCCAUUAAAGUUUCCACACUGGGCAUUCAAAAGAGGGCCCAGGCUGGACCUGGCAAGGUUUCAGGUCCUGUUUUGGAUAGUUCAAACACCUCUCAAAAUCAUGUGCCAAGUCAAAAAAGUAGAGCAGCUUUUUCUGGGGAUAGGCCAAAAAGUACUCCUAAAGCAACUUCACAAAUGAGUGAUCCUACUGUUUCAAUGUGUGCUCCAUCAGAACUGGAAGUUGGUAUGGAUGAUAGAAGCAGCUUUUUGGUCGAUUCUAAGACUCUAGAUUCUGUUACAUCUAUGAAACAUCUCAUUGCUGCUGCUCAAGCAAAAAGGAGACAAGCUCACUCACAACCUUUUCCUCAUGGAAACCUUGCUUUUAUAGCUCUUAGCGAUGCUCAGGGAAGGAGCCCAAGCUCCUCACCGGGCCAAAUUUUUUUAUCUGGUACUAGCAAUGCUGUACAGGCAGAUAUGCAAGGCUUCUAUCAUAAUACAAAUUUAAUUUCUCCAUCUUCACAUGGCCACCAAUCAGCGUCACACAGCCAAGUGGAAGCUGAAGAAAUUGAGGAGCAAAGAGUUAGUUCAGGACAGAGGGCUGCUGGAGGUUCAUUGAGUGGAGGUACUGAAGCUGCUGUGGCUCGUGAUGCUUUUGAAGGGAUGAUAGAGACUUUAUCAAGGACAAAAGAAAGUAUUGGACGUGCAACUCGCCUUGCCAUUGAUUGUGCCAAGUAUGGCAUUGCAAAUGAGGUGGUUGUAGAACUUCUAAUCCGAAAAUUGGAAAGUGAGCCUAGUUUCCACCGCAAAGUGGACUUAUUUUUUCUUGUAGAUUCCAUCACCCAGUGUUCACAUAAUCAAAAAGGUAUCGCUGGAGCUUUGUAUGUCCCUACGGUGCAAGCAGCCUUACCACGCCUUGUUGGUGCUGCUGCUCCACCAGGAGCCAGUGCUCGGGAAAAUCGUCGUCAGUGUUUAAAGGUUUUAAGGUUGUGGCUUGAGAGGAAAAUCUUUUCAGAAUCUGUUUUAAGGCACUAUAUGGAUGGUAUUGGAGGUUCAAAUGACGAUGCCUCUGCUGGAUUUUCCCUUCGACGUCCAUCCCAAUCUGAGCGAGCUAUAGAUGAUCCAAUCAGGGAAAUGGAAGGCAUGCAUGUAGAUGAAUAUGGCAGUAAUGCCACAUUUCAGUUGCCUGGGCUUUUAUCUUCUCAUGUGUUCGAGGAUGAUGAUGAUGAUGACUUUCCGAGCAGUCCUUUUAAGGAAGUUAAUGUUGUGUUAGGAGUUACAGAAUCAACCCAUGCUCUAGGAGAGAGAGAAACAUUUACUGCGACUGCAAGUGACAGGCGCCAUUGCAUCUUAGAGGAUGUGGAUGUUGAACUUGAAAUGGAAGAUGUGUCUGGACACCCAAAGGAUGAAAGACCCUCAUCCAUAGGUGUUUUUUUUGAAAUGGAAGCACAGCAGCAUUACUCAGAUAGGUUACCAGAACCAGCAUUAAAUGAUUCUGUCCAUUUGUUGCCUCUACCAGAUGGUUCUCCACCACCGCCUCCUGAUUCUCCUCCUCCACCUCCGCCUUUGCCUUCCUCUCCACCGCCGCCGCCGCCGCCACCACCACCACCACCACUUCCACUUCCACCUCAACUCUCAACAUCUUUGUCACCGCCGCCUCCGCCUCCACCUCCACCUCCACCUCCUCCGUCACAACCACCACCUCCUCUUCCCCCAGUGCCACCUUCAGCUCCUCUUCCUACUGUGGUACCACAACCAUCUGUACCAACUCAAUCUUCGUUACUAGCAAAACCAAUACGACCAUCUCAGUCAUCUGUACAGUCCUCUCCUCAUUUGGCAUAUCAAUCAGCUGUACCUCAUGAAUACUGUACUACACCCAAUAGUAAUCAAAUUGUCCAAAUGGCUGGAAGUACUUCUCAUGGGAAUCACAUGUUCUUAAAUCCUCAAGCUCCUCAACAAAACCCACAUUUUCAGCCAGUUAAUGCACCUUUUGCACAAAGAUCGCCGCAUUCAAACCUACCACAAAAUGCAUCAGGUCACUUCUCAUUCAUGGCGCCUCCAAUUCAGCAGCUUCCUUAUCCCUGUCCAUACUCUAUGCCAUCACAUCCAGAUGGUCGGCCACGAUUUUCCACUGAUGAACAGUGGAGGAUGCCUUCAAGCGAAUAUGCAGAUAAUCAUCCUGGUGCAUGGAUGGGUGGAAGAAAUCCAUCUUAUGCAGGCCCUUCUUUUGGCCAGGAAGGUCACUUUCGGCCACCACCUCCAAAUAAUAUGGGUUUUCAGGUUGCUCCCUCCAACAAGGUACCUGCUGGAGCUUCCAUUCCAGGUCAUGGUGUUACACAGAUGUUGCCAUGUAGACCAGACAUGCCUGCCCUUAACUGCUGGAGGCCAGCAUAAUAAAGAGCCUAAGGGCAUCUUAAGUAUUUGACUCUGUGAUCCUGAAAUGAGAAAGUGCGCUUGCGUUAUCAUGCGCCUCAAGGAAGGUUCCCAUUUUGGACAAAAUACAACUACCUCUUGAAGGCAGUGUUUGAACCUUGUGGAGACUCUUGGCAGGGCUCUGUAUAGUGUAAUUUCGUGACAAAUGUAUCCCAGGAACAUCUGCUUCUGAGUGUAGGGCCGUGUUUCUUACUUGGCGGAUUUGACUAUAGACCUAUAUGUAACUCUGCCCCUACGUUUGACUACCAGUUUGAGCAUGAUUCUUAAACUCAGUUCUGAUUUUGUGCAUAGAAGCUGCCUGCUGCAAGUUUUCUUGGUAAAGGUGGUUGAGGCAAAAAAUUAAGGUGCAUCUGCUGUCAUUCAUGACUUACUCAUUUUGGGGAAUAAAGAUCAAGCUAUAUCUGGUAGAGAACUUCUGCAAAAUCUGAGAAUGAAUGGAUCUAAUCAGCAUAUUGUUGAAGAUGGAGAAUUCUUCUUGGAGAUACAGUGAACAUCAAGUUUCUCUCCGUGAAAGUCUGGGACAUAGUCAUGGAUGCCUGUAAUAUUGUAUAAGCUAAUGUGCGAAACAAAAAAAUAAAAUGAGAACCAUUCUGGGACUUUCAUGGUGUUAGGUUCUGUCGGAUGGGGGGAUAGUAGGAUAGUUGAUUUGGUGGUGAGUAUGAUACAAUUGUAAUAUAUUAUGGAUGUAUGCGGUAGAGAGAUUCUGGAACAGCAUCUACCGGUGGAGAAUCUUGAAUUUAUGCUCAACAGUAAGGAAGUGCGUGUAUAUGAAGAGAUUCGGAUUUUAGCUUUCUUUUUUUUUUC